GAUGAACGCUGGCGGCGUGCCUAACACAUGCAAGUCGAGCGAACCCUUCGGGGUGAGCGGCGGACGGGUGAGUAACGCGUGGGUAACCUGCCCUAUACACACGGAUAACGUACCGAAAGGUACGCUAAUACGGGAUAAAGUUGUUGGAUGGCAUCUUCUAACAGUCAAAGCUCCGGCGGUAUAGGAUGGACCCGCGGCUGAUUAGCUAGUUGGUGAGGUAAUGGCUCACCAAGGCGACGAUCAGUAGCCGACCUGAGAGGGUGAUCGGCCACAAUGGAACUGAGACACGGUCCAGACUCCUACGGGAGGCAGCAGUGGGGAAUAUUGCACAAUGGGCGAAAGCCUGAUGCAGCAACGCCGCGUGAGCGAUGAAGGUCUUCGGAUCGUAAAGCUCUGUCCUCAAGGAAGAUAAUGACGGUACUUGAGGAGGAAGCCCCGGCUAACUACGUGCCAGCCGCCGCCGUAA
rnacentral:rRNA from 1 species